GCCGAUAUAGCUCAGCUGGUAGAGCGGCGCUUUCGUAAAGCGUAGGUCAGCGGUUCGACUCCGCUUAUCGGCUCCA
rnacentral:tRNA from 1 species